UUUAUCUAUAAUAAUAGAUAUUUAAGACCAAAUCCAAACCAAAAAUAUAUAAAUAAUCAUAGUAUUAUUUAUCAUAUGAUGGUUUUGUUUUAUAAAAAUAAUUUUGGCUCUAAUUUAAUAACAAAAAUUUAAAUUUUAAUUGUGCAAUUAAAGCUUUAAAUUAAUUUUAUUUUUGGUUUAUUAUUAAAUUGCAUUUUAUUAUAAUUUAGAAAAGUGAAGU
rnacentral:lncRNA from 1 species